rnacentral:tRNA from 1 species
GGCAGAGUGGUCGAUUGCACUGAAUUGCUAAUCCGGAGACUGACAAAAAUCCGCAGGUUCGAAUCCUGCC